GAGCGGAAAGGCCCUUCGGGGUACUCGAGCGGCGAACGGGUGAGUAACACGUGAGCAACCUGCCCUAGGCUUUGGGAUAACCCUCGGAAACGGGGGCUAAUACCGGAUACGACCUCCUGUCGCAUGGUGGGGGGUGGAAAGUUUUUCGGCCUGGGAUGGGCUCGCGGCCUAUCAGCUUGUUGGUGGGGUGAUGGCCUACCAAGGCGACGACGGGUAGCCGGCCUGAGAGGGCGACCGGCCACACUGGGACUGAGACACGGCCCAGACUCCUACGGGAGGCAGCAGUGGGGAAUAUUGCACAAUGGGCGGAAGCCUGAUGCAGCGACGCCGCGUGAGGGAUGACGGCCUUCGGGUUGUAAACCUCUUUCAGCAGGGACGAAGCGCAAGUGACGGUACCUGCAGAAGAAGCGCCGGCCAACUACGUGCCAGCAGCCGCGGUAAU
rnacentral:rRNA from 1 species